rnacentral:rRNA from 1 species
UACGAAGGGGGCUAGCGUUGCUCGGAAUCACUGGGCGUAAAGCGCACGUAGGCGGCUUUUUAAGUCAGGGGUGAAAUCCUGGAGCUCAACUCCAGAACUGCCUUUGAUACUGGGAAGCUUGAGUCCGGAAGAGGUGAGUGGAACUCCGAGUGUAGAGGUGAAAUUCGUAGAUAUUCGGAAGAACACCAGUGGCGAAGGCGGCUCACUGGUCCGGUACUGACGUUGAGGUGCGAAAGCGUGGGGAGCAAACAGG